ensembl:lncRNA
ACACACACACACACACACACACACAACCACACUAGCUGCACACACACACACACACUAGCUGACCUGUAUGUGUUAGUGACCAACACAACCACGAUGGCUGACCUGUACGUGUUAGAGUGACCAACACAACCACACUGGCUACACACACACACACACACACACACACAACCACACUGGCUGACCUGUACGUGUUAGAGUGACCAACACAACCACACUAGCUGACCUGUAUGUUAGUGACCAACACAACCACACUGGCUACACACACACACACAACCACACUGGCUGACCUGUAUGUGUUAGUGACCAACACAACCACACUGGCUGCACACACACACACACACACACAACCACACUGGCUGACCUGUAUGUGUUAGUGACCAACACAACCACGAUGGCUGACCUGCAACGACUCCUGGUUGAGGAAUGGAGUGCCAUCCCACAGCAACAUGUGACCAGGUUGGUGACCAGCAUGAGGAGGAGGUGCCAGGCUGUUGUGGCAGCGUAUGGAUCUUCCACCCGCUACUGAGGCUCCUGACGGUGUAUUAAAUGAAUAAAGUGUAAAAUUGCCAAUAUGUCUUUUUUGUUCCUUGUUACUGAUCAUGAGUUCAAUCAUCCAAUCCACCAAACAACUCAAAACAAGAGUGAAUACCAACAGGAGAAUACACUCUUUAACAUUGGCAGAGAAUUUUGGCAAUUACUUGGCCGCUACCCACAUAAUCAUCUGUGCUGCUCAUCCCACAAAUGCAUGAUCCUUACAAGCUGUACAUUUUUGUAAAGGUAAAUAAACAGGCUUUCCAACGAUAUAAAAUACAAUGCCAAUUAGCAUUGUAACAACAGAGGAAUAAUCGUCCAAACACAAACUUUUUUUCUCCGAGUUUAUAUCACAAACAGCCUUCCUACACAUCUAUUCUUUGUGUUAAUGUCACAAACAGCCUUCCUAUACAAAACCUAAGAAAUGAAAGCGUACGUGUAAGUGUAGAUGGAUGCUGCCCCCUUUUCACGUGGUCCGCCUGAACGUUCCUCUUCCCCUCAGAGUAACAAACCUCUGGCCGUAAACGCUUCUCCUGACUAACACCAGUUACCCAACAUCUGGUUAAAAAAAAAUGAAUUAAAAAAUAAAACACGUCAUGUUUCUCCUGACUAACGAGUGACCCAUCAUAGGAAAAACACACACAUCACUGCAGAUCCUUCUGAUGUCAUAAGGCCUCCACCAUAUUUGUGUACAUGGCAAAACAAAUAAACAAAAACAAGCACACACACCCCUUACUCAUAACAUCUUAAUGAAUCCACUGCUUCUUUAGCCGGUCAGGUCCUCAGCGCAGUGUUUUUAUCGGUCACUCUCUUCUCUUACACGUAGAAAGGGUUUUACACACACACACACACACACACACACACACACGAUGGGUUAAGGCUGCCUCUGAACCCAACACAACCAGAAUUCACUUCCACAGCUUUUUUAGUGUUCAGGUGAAGCUGAUCUGGCAGCAGAGUUUGUAGGCCUGUAGAGUUGAGUAGAGUUUGUAGGCCUGCAGAGUUGAGUAGAGUUUGUAGGCCUGUAGAGUUUGUAGGCCUGUAGAGUUGAGCAGAGAUGAUUUCUCUUGGUACACAUGGUGGGGGCGGAGGGGUUGGACAUGCUGGCUCAGGUGAUAAAGCCACACCCUUCGUCAGUAAGUUCUUAGUAAACACAUAGAACAACCUGACCCGUGUGUGUGUGUGUGUGUGUGGCUAUCUAAGGGUAAAACACAAAUGAAACAAACUGACCGACACCAUGACAUCAGAAAGAUACCUUUUAGGAUUUUUUUUUUCUUUUUUAACAGAACGAAAACCUGACAGGCUAACCACAGCCACAGCUCUAUGAUAAGGACCCCCCCCAACCCCAGGGCUAUGACAAGAACGUUAUGACAAGAACGUGACUUUUGCGAAGCACAAAUGGCUGGAGGGAUUCCUAGUCCUGGUCGGCGGUUAAGAGCUGGAUCAGCAGUCAUCAACAGGCGGCCCCACACUGCGCCUCUGUGUGUGUGUGUGUGUGUGUGUGUGUGUGUGUGUCUGGAGAUCCGUCCUCUGUCUGUUUGUGUGUGUGUGUGGGGGUGUGUUUGUGUGAGUGGGGGUGUGUGUGUCUGGAGAUCCGUCCUCUAUCUGUUUGUGCGUGUCGGUGUGUGAGUGUCUGGCGAUCCGUACUCUGUGUGUGUGUGUGUGUGUGUGUCUGGCGAUCCGUCCUCUCUGUGUGUGUGUGUGUGUGUGUGUGUGUGUCUGGCGAUCCGUCCUCCCUGUGUGUGUGUCUGGAGGCCCAUCAGGUUGCCUUUGGACUGGGUGGGUUGGGGUUCUGCUUCGGCCUCCUCUUCUCUCUGGAGGGAAACAACCAACAUCAUCAUUAAAGCAUCUGAUCUAUCUUGGCCGAUCACUGCAUCUGAUCUAUCUUGGUCGAUCACCGAUCACUGCAUCUAAGUAGGUCAGACACAGACAGAGAGGGGUAGACACUGACGCAGACAGACAGACAGAGAGAGAGAGAGAGGGGUAGACACUGACGCAGACAGACAGCCAGAGAGAGAGAGGUAGACACUGACGCAGACAGACAGAGAGAAAGAGAGAGAGAGGGGGUAGACACUGACGCAGACAGACAGACAGACACUGACGCAGACAGACACAGAGAGAGAGAGAGAGAGAGAGAGAGAGAGAGAGAGAGAGAGAGAGAGAGAG